rnacentral:rRNA from 1 species
AGUGAACGCUGGCGGUAGGCCUAACACAUGCAAGUCGAACGGCAGCACAGUAAGAGCUUGCUCUUACGGGUGGCGAGUGGCGGACGGGUGAGGAAUACAUCGGAAUCUACUUUUUCGUGGGGGAUAACGUAGGGAAACUUACGCUAAUACCGCAUACGACCUACGGGUGAAAGCAGGGGAUCUUCGGACCUUGCGCGAUUGAAUGAGCCGAUGUCGGAUUAGCUAGUUGGCGGGGUAAAGGCCCACCAAGGCGCCGAUCCGUAGCUGGUCUGAGAGGAUGAUCAGCCACACUGGAGCUGAGACACGGUCCAGACUCCUACGGGAGGCAGCAGUGGGGAAUAUUGGACAAUGGGCGCAAGCCUGAUCCAGCCAUACCGCGUGGGUGAAGAAGGCCUUCGGGUUGUAAAGCCCUUUUGUUGGGAAAGAAAAGCAGCAGGUUAAUACCCCGCUGUUCUGACGGUACCCAAAGAAUAAGCACCGGCUAACUUCGUG